AAUUUUGCGCAAUGGGCGAAAGCCUGACGCAGCCAUGCCGCGUGAAUGAUGAAGGUCUUCGGACUGUACAAUUCUUUCACCGGGGACAAUAAUGACGGUACCCGGAGAAGAAGCACCGGCUAACUCCGUGCCAGCAGCCGCGGUAAUACGAAGGGGGCUAGCGUUGCUCGGAAUUACUGGGCGUAAAGGGCGCGUAGGCGGAUCGUUAAGCUAGAGGUGAAAUCCCAGGGCUCAACCCUGGAACUGCCUUUGAUACUGGCGAUCUUGAGUAUGAGAGAGGUAUGUGGAACUCCGAGUGUAGAGGUGAAAUUCGUAGAUAUUCGGAAGAACACCAGUGGCGAAGGCGACAUACUGGCUCAUUACUGACGCUGAGGCGCGAAAGCGUGGGGAGCAAACAG
rnacentral:rRNA from 1 species